GCUCAGGAUGAACGCUGGCGGCGUGCCUAAUACAUGCAAGUCGAGCGAACAGAUGAGAAGCUUGCUUCUCUGAUGUUAGCGGCGGACGGGUGAGUAACACGUGGGUAACCUACCUAUAAGACUGGGAUAACUCCGGGAAACCGGGGCUAAUACCGGAUAAUAUUUUGAACCGCAUGGUUCAAUAGUGAAAGACGGUUUCGGCUGUCACUUAUAGAUGGACCCGCGCCGUAUUAGCUAGUUGGUAAGGUAACGGCUUACCAAGGCGACGAUACGUAGCCGACCUGAGAGGGUGAUCGGCCACACUGGAACUGAGACACGGUCCAGACUCCUACGGGAGGCAGCAGUAGGGAAUCUUCCGCAAUGGGCGAAAGCCUGACGGAGCAACGCCGCGUGAGUGAUGAAGGUCUUCGGAUCGUAAAACUCUGUUGUUAGGGAAGAACAAAUUUGUUAGUAACUGAACAAGUCUUGACGGUACCUAACCAGAAAGCCACGGCUAACUACGUGCCAGCAGCCGCGGUAAUACGUAGGUGGCAAGCGUUAUCCGGAAUUAUUGGGCGUAAAGCGCGCGUAGGCGGUUUCUUAAGUCUGAUGUGAAAGCCCACGGCUCAACCGUGGAGGGUCAUUGGAAACUGGGAAACUUGAGUGCAGAAGAGGAGAGUGGAAUUCCAUGUGUAGCGGUGAAAUGCGCAGAGAUAUGGAGGAACACCAGUGGCGAAGGCGGCUCUCUGGUCUGUAACUGACGCUGAUGUGCGAAAGCGUGGGGAUCAAACAGGAUUAGAUACCCUGGUAGUCCACGCCGUAAACGAUGAGUGCUAAGUGUUAGGGGGUUUCCGCCCCUUAGUGCUGCAGCUAACGCAUUAAGCACUCCGCUGGAGAAACCCGACUUGG
rnacentral:rRNA from 2 species